rnacentral:rRNA from 1 species
AUUGAACGCUGGCGGCAGGCUUAACACAUGCAAGUCGAGCGAGAGGCGGAAGGAUGAGUAAUGUCUGGGAAACUGCCUGAUGGAGGGGGCUAACUCCUGGACACGGUAGCUGAUACCGCAUACCCUCCGCUCUGCCCGGCUGGGAUUAGCUAGUAGGUGGGGUAAUGGCUCACCUAGGCGACGAUCCCUAGCGGGUCUGUGAGGAUGACCAGCCACACUGGAACUGAGACACGGGCCAGACUCCUACGGGAGGCAGCAGUGGGGAAUAUUGCACAAUGGGCGCAAGCCUGAUGCAGCUAGGCCGCGGGUGUGAAGAAGGCCUUCGGGUUGUAAAGCACUUUAAGCGAGGAGGCGUUACUAGCAGAAGAAGCACCGGCUAACUCCGUGCCAGCAGCCGCGGUAAUUC